rnacentral:rRNA from 1 species
GACGAACGCUGGCGGCGUGCUUAACACAUGCAAGUCGAACGAUGAAGCCUUCGGGUGGAUUAGUGGCGAACGGGUGAGUAACACGUGGGUGAUCUGCCCUGCACUUUGGGAUAAGCCUGGGAAACUGGGUCUAAUACCGAAUAAGAUCAUGCUCUUCAUGGGGUGUGGUGGAAAGCUUUUGCGGUGUGGGAUGGGCCCGCGGCCUAUCAGCUUGUUGGUGGGGUAAUGGCCUACCAAGGCGACGACGGGUAGCCGGCCUGAGAGGGUGACCGGCCACACUGGGACUGAGAUACGGCCCAGACUCCUACGGGAGGCAGCAGUGGGGAAUAUUGCACAAUGGGCGCAAGCCUGAUGCAGCGACGCCGCGUGAGGGAUGACGGCCUUCGGGUUGUAAACCUCUUUCAGCAGGGACGAAGCGCAAGUGACGGUACCUGCAGAAGAAGGACCGGCCAACUACGUGCCAGCAGCCGCGGUAACAC